CUAUUAUAAUUCUCUUUGGGCAUCACUAUUUGACAACUAAUGUCAGGAAUUAUUUACGUAAAAAAAUCAGUUAAAUUCCAAAAUAAUUAAUCUCAGAAACUAUUUAUUGUUUGUUCUUGUUUCGUGAAUUUGAGCUAUCUUAUUAAAUUUAAAAAGUUGUAAAUAAAUUAUACGCAUAAAUUUAAAGUGUUCAAAAUGAUGGCUAGCAAAGCUAUGCCGGAGACGGAGGAGCAAAACAGAAUCCGAUUUCAAGUGGAAUUAGAAUUUGUACAAUGCUUGGCAAAUCCAAAUUAUAUACACUUUUUAGCACAGAGAGGUUACUUAAAAGAACAGACAUUUAUUAAUUAUUUAAAGUACUUACAAUACUGGAGAGAACCAGAGUAUGCCCGGUAUCUCAAGUACCCCAUGUGUCUGCAUUUCCUAGAGCUGUUACAGCAUGAAGCAUUCAGAAGGGAAUGUGUUUCAGCACAGGUGUGUAAAUUCAUGGAUGACCAAGCUAUUCUCUUGUGGCAACACUAUACGCGGCGGCGCACGCGUACGCUGCAGCCACCAGAUGCGCCCGCGCCGCCCGCGCCCCCCGCACCUCCACAACAGGGCGCGCCCAGGCAACAACCCUAAUAUAGUUAUAAUCUGUAUUAAAGUGAAAUGAACUUGCGGAUUUUAUUCUUAGUAAACGGAUGUUGCGGUCGUCGCUGCCGCGCCAGGCAUAGAGCUCGCAGCGUCAGGUAGUAAAGAAGUUCUACAGCGCUCAUUACGCUGAAGCCCAUGCAGAGACCGAGAAGGCCACCUGUAUUAGCUGAAAUUAAUAUAAUGACAUUCACAUCCAGUCAGUGUAAUAAAUUGCAUCGCUUGAUAGCAGGACUGAGAACGAUGGCUGGCGUUUUCCAGCAGAUGUGAGUUGCGAAGUGCACGCACUCGGCUUGUGGCAGCUGAGCGAGGACCGCUUCUUUUGAAGCCUAUAACACAAAAUACCUGGUAGUCGGUGAGCGGUGUGACGCGCAGCAUGUCGGCGACGAGCUCGGCCUCCUUGAGCAGCGCAUGCGCGCCGCCCCAGCGCGUCGCGCCCACUCGCGGCGACCCCACCACCAGGCACCGCAUGCCCGUCUCCAGCGGCGACGACGACACUGCGCCUGCGCCACCGCCUGUCCCACCCAUUUAUCAUUAAUGUUUUUACGAAUAUUUCCUUUAUUAUAUUACUUGCUUAUAAUAAAUUAUUUCACUUUC
rnacentral:misc_RNA from 1 species